UUGUUAGCAGAGCGCAGUCUACAAAUGGCUACUGAUACAACCAACGAUGUCGUAGAAAUGCGAUACCAAGGAAUCUUAUUUUAUAUAUAAAAAGUGACGAUAUUAAAAGUACCGAAACAACGGUGAUUGAUGUUUCCCAAGCGUUUUAUCGCGAAUAAAACUUUUCGCAAUUUUCUACCGAUUGCGACAUCUCGUUUUCCGCGGGAAAGCAAUGUCUGGAUAUCGGAAAGUGAAUUACUACGAGCUGUGCAGAUUGUGUACCAGCAGCGAAGGCAAUAAAAUGAACAUAUUUCGCGAUGAAGGUCGUAGGCGACAACUUCAAACAAAAAUUCAAACAUGUUUACCCAUUCAGGUUUUAGAAGAGGAUUCAUUACCUAAAAUCGUCUGCCACGAGUGUGUCAGGAAGUUGGAAAAUUUCAUUGAGUUCCGAGAAACUGUUGUUAGUGCAGAGGGUAUGCUCGAGUCUUAUUUCACUUCGCUGCGCUUUUCUGAGGAUUUUUUAAAAGAAGGUAAAGUGUAUGUAAAAAACAUUGAAAAGGAAAGACCUUCAACUCCAGACGCUGAAGGUUUAAAAUCCGUGGAGAAAGUAUUAUCAAAUGCAGGAAAUCAAGUGCUAACAAAUGAACAACAUGGACAACAUCAACAACCUGUUGUCGUUAGCAAUAUUAAUGCGUCAAAUAUACAAAUCAUCAGUGGUGUCCAAUCUAGGGUACAGCAAUAUAAAUGUGCCAUGCAGAUGCAAUCAAAUGGUGAUAUGUCAGCUGCAGUUGUAGAAGCCACAGCAGAAACUCACUACAGCUGUCAACAGCAAACAUCUCAGCGUGUAUCGCCUCAAAGAUCAAAUGAGACACAAAAUGAAAUCAGUGAACCACAAGCUCAGUCACCACAAAUCCAAGCUACAAACCAAAUACAAAAUCAUAAUCAAGUGGUACAACAAGGACAAUCUCAAAGACAAAUUUCACAACAAUUAACUCAAUCUACUCAAAUAACACAACAAAAUCAGACUCAGCUUAAUCAUCAGCAACAAGGACAGUCACAGAUAACUCAGCAGAUACAACAUUUGCAGAGACAACAAAGACUUCAACAAAUAGAUAAACAACAAGUGCAAAUUGCUACACAACAGGAAUUUAUUGUGAAACAAGAGCCAUCAUCUCAAGUUGUUCAACAGAAUAAUAAUAUUAUACUUAAAACAGAUGCAGAUACAGAACAGAAUCAACAAAUUAUACAAAAAGUUCAAUCCGAUGGCCAAAAAGAGGAGAAUACGUCUCCUUGUCAAAACUAUACGACUGUACAGGCUGCUCCAGAGGUAUUUUUGAGUUUAGGAUUUAAAGAAACAUCUUUACCAAAUCAAUCUGUUCAAGAUGAAGGGAAAGAUUUCAAGGACUUCACAAAAAGUGCUAAUGAUGAUGUAAUGUCUCGCACAUCAAUUGGACAAAUAUCAGAAUUUCUCAGAAUCAGAUCAGGCUCCGAACAGGCACCUUUAAUUACCGUUAAUCCUCAAGUUAUAUCACAAUCUACUAGGAGUAGCAUAUGCCGUAAUUGCGGUAAAAAUUUUUCAUCCGUAAGUCAAAUGAAUAAUCAUACUUGUACGCUGGUAAAUGAAACAUCAGAUAUCAUAGUGAAGGAAGAAUCUUUACAAGUUAAUGGAAAUUCUUUUAAUUGUGAUGUCUGUGGAAAGCCUUUCAAAAGAAAAGAACAUUUAUUUCAACAUCGAAAGCUACACACUGGAGAACGUCCAUAUGUAUGCACAACAUGUGCCAAAGCUUUUAGUCGUAAGGAACAUUUGGUUAGACAUUCUGUAUCUCAUACGGGUCAAAAAAUGCAUGAAUGUGAAUUGUGCGGCAAAAGCUUUUCACGGAAGGACAACCUUCACAAACAUCGAAAAACGCAUGGUGUAACAGGUCCUUAUAUUUGUGAAACUUGUGGAAAAUCUUUUAUGGUGAAACAUUAUUAUGUGAUGCAUUUAACAACUCAUGCACCGAUUAUUGCAGAUGGUGGUUGUCAUGAUCCUUUGCCAUAUAAAUGUGACAUGUGUCACAAAGCAUUUUCCGUAAAGCAGUAUCUGACUGCGCACAAAUAUAGACAUAGAAAGAAUAAUAACUCUGCACAGAACACUUUAAACAGGGAUCAGCAACAACAAUCCCAACAAUCAAAUAAUAAUGUUAACAAUAUUAACGUCGUGGGGAACAAUGUUGCUACAUCAGGAAAUAUAAAUGACAAUAAUGGCCAAUCGAGUAAUGAACCUACAGUGGAAAUACAAAAUGUUGUUGAAAGAAGUGAACAGACUAAUGGUUCAUUUAAUAAUAGUCAAUAUCAUAAUAAUAUCCAAGAAUUUCAAUGAGACAAGGGGAAGCGUGUCUAUUAUGUUCUCUUGCCAAAUGGUAACAACCAUAAGAUAGUAGUUGUAUAGGCAAGAGAAAUUUUAUGACGCGCUCGAUUAUUUUGUUAGUUUAUUUUGCUCUUGAUUGUAAAUUUUUUCUACUUUGAUACGAACGAUCAUAACUAAAGAGCAAAGUUAUUAUUUUUAAUAAGUUAAAGCUUUGACGAUCGCGUUUAAUGAUUCUAACAAAAUAAAGUCAAAGUCUUAACUAGUUUGCUAUUCAUUUGUAAGUCAAAAAGUCAAAAAACUUCAUAAGAGCUUUCUAUAUGAAAUAAUGUGUAUAUAGUUAUAUAUGCACAUAUAUUCUGUGAGCAAAAGAUAUUAUUUAUGAAGAAUGUAUGCUACACAUACACACACAUACACGCAUACCUUUGAUACAGAUCGACAACUUUGGAUAGAUUCUAUUAAAAAUAAGGGAAACAAAAUACUAUCUAAAAUGAUCAAAGGUAUGAUGGUCAUGAGGUUGUUCCAACAUCUAAUUUGGAUUAUAUUUAUUAACAUUUGCAAACUUUGAUAAACAUUUAACAAAAACUAAAUAUGUUUAAUAUCAUUUAUAAUAUAAUUGUAAAAGAUAAAUUGCACACAAUAAUAUAUAUAUAUAUAUAUAUAUGUGUAUAUGUAUAUAUAUAUAUUAACAACUGAUGUAUACCGAGUAUAAAUGUGCCAAUACCAAAAAAGAAGGAUCAAACUUUAAAAAAAAAAAUCCAAUACUAAUACAAAUAUAAAAAGAUACCGAUCUAUUUUAUUUAUAUAAAAACAUUAGAUUAAUUUGUUGUGAAAUAGAUGUAUCAAAAUACUCACAGGCUCAUGUUUACUUUCAUAACUGAUAGAAAGAUCGAUUAUUAAUAAUUUUAUAUGAAUCCAUAGAAAUUUUAUUUUGGAUUCCAGUUCAUAAUACGCCUCGCAUAUAUUAUACGUCAAUUAUCAGAAUCACAUAAAGCAGCCCUAUUCGAAUCAGUGAUUGUAACAAUCCAUGACAUUUAGGGGAAGAUAUGUUUAUAUGAAAAUUUAGAGAGUAUUGAACAAGAAAAAGAAGACCAAAGAAAUUUAUACAUGUAUAAAAUAGAGAUAAAUAAUGUUUUAUUAGUAUAAUAGAGAUGGACAGCAGGGCCCAGAAUUAAAAUAUCAUAGAUUCCCUGUAUUAAUGAUUUCUUGUUAAGAGAUAUUGAUAGUCAUUUCGUAUGACAACACUGUCUCAUAUAGAUUCUAUACAACACAUUAUGUAUGUAGAGAAGUUAUGUUUAAUCUUUCAUUUUCGCAAUAUAUUUGAGUGCAAGAGAAAAUGUAAGGAUAAGAGCACAAAUUAGAACAAUGAGUAUAUGUAAAGUUACAAAAAGAAAAAAAGAAUGGAUGAACCACGUGAUUAUAAAAACUUUAAUUAAGGGUUUAAUCCGCUACUGACCAAAAGAAGAAGAAGAAGAAGAAGAAGAAGAAGAAGAUGAAGAAGAAGAAGCAGAAGAAGAAGAAAAUGAAGAUAAAGAAGAAG